GCUUACGGCCAUACCAACCUGGCUAUGCCCGAUCUUGUCUGCUCUCAGAAGCUAAGCAGGUUUGGGCCUGGUUAGUACUUGGAUGGGAGACCCGCCUGGGAAUACCAGGUGCUAUAAGCU
rnacentral:rRNA from 1 species